rnacentral:rRNA from 1 species
UACGUAGGUGGCAAGCGUUGUCCGGAUUUAUUGGGCGUAAAGCGAGCGCAGGCGGUUUCUUAAGUCUGAUGUGAAAGCCCCCGGCUCAACCGGGGAGGGUCAUUGGAAACUGGGAAACUUGAGUGCAGAAGAGGAGAGUGGAAUUCCAUGUGUAGCGGUGAAAUGCGUAGAUAUAUGGAGGAACACCAGUGGCGAAGGCGGCUCUCUGGUCUGUAACUGACGCUGAGGCUCGAAAGCGUGGGGAGCAAACAGG